AAAGGCGAAAAGAACCCCGGGAGGGGAGUGAAAUAGAUCCUGAAACCGCAUACAUACAAACAGUAGGAGCCCGCAAGGGUGACUGCGUACCUUUUGCAUAAUGGGUCAGCGACUUACGUUCAAUGGCAAGCUUAACCGAGUAGGGGAGGCGCAGCGAAAGCGAGUCCGAACAGGGCGAUAUGAGUCGUUGGGCGUAGACCCGAAACCAGAUGAUCUAUCCAUGGCCAGGCUGAAGGUGUGGUAACACACACUGGAGGGCCGAACCGACUAGUGUUGCAAAAUUAGCGGAUGAGCUGUGGAUAGGGGUGAAAGGCUAAACAAAUCUGGAGAUAGCUGGUUCUCCCCGAAAACUAUUGAGGUAGUGCCUCGUGUAUGGCUCCAGGGGGUAGAGCACUGUUAUGGCUAGGGGGACAUGGCGUCUUACCAAACCAUGGCAAACUCCGAAUACUUGGAAGUCUGAGCACGGGAGACAGAGCACCGGGUGCUAACGUCCGGACUCAAAAGGGAAACAACCCAGACCGCCGGCUAAGGUCCCUAAUAUUGACUAAGUGGAAAACGAAGUGGGAAGGCUAAGACAGUCAGGAAGUUGGCUUAGAAGCAGCCAUCCUUCAAAGAAAGCGUAAUAGCUCACUGAUCGAGUCUUCCUGCGCGGAAGAUGUAACGGGGCUAAGUCAAUAACCGAAGCCGCGGAUUCGCAGCAAUGCGAGUGGUAGGGGAGCGUUCUGUAAGCCUGCGAAGGCGGAUCCGUGAGGACCGCUGGAGGUAUCAGAAGUGCGAAUGCUGACAUGAGUAACGUUAAAGCGGGUGAAAAGCCCGCUCGCCGCAAGCCCAAGGUUUCCUGCUCUACGUUCAUCGGAGCAGGGUGAGUCGGCCCCUAAGGUCAGGCUGAGAAGCGUAGCUGAUGGGAAGCUGGUUAAUAUUCCAGCACCGAUUUCAAGUGCGAAGGGGGGACGGAGUCCUGAAGGUCAUCCGGGUGUUGGACAUCCCGGUUUACGAGCGUAGGAGGUUGACAGGCAAAUCCGUCAACGAAUCUCCAAGGCGAAGGAUCGAGGUUGAGAGAUCAACUGAAGUGACUGAAUGGGCUUCCAGGAAAAGCCUCUAAGCAUCAGCUUGGAAUUGACCGUACCGCAAACCGACACUGGUGGGCGAGCUGAAUAUGCUCAGGCGCUUGAGAGAACUCAGGAGAAGGAACUCGGCAAAUUGACACCGUAACUUCGGGAUAAGGUGUGCCUUUGUAGUGUGAAGAGAGAAACACUCCGAGCAUGAAGAGGCCUCAGAGAAUCGGUGGCUGCAACUGUUUACUAAAAACACAGCACUCUGCAAAGAUGAAAGUCGACGUAUAGGGUGUGAUGCCUGCCCGGUGCUGGAAGAUUAAUUGAUGGGGUGCAAGCUCCUGAUCGAAGUCCCAGUAAACGGCGGCCGUAACUAUAACGGUCCUAAGGUAGCGAAAUUCCUUGUCGGGCAAGUUCCGACCUGCACGAAUGGCAUAAUGAUGGCCACACUGUCUCCUCCUGAGACUCAGUGAAGUUGAAAUGUUUGUGAUGAUGCAAUCUCCCCGCGGCUAGACGGAAAGACCCCAUGAACCUUUACUGCAGCUUUGCAUUGGACUUUGAACCGAUCUGUGUAGGAUAGGUGGGAGGCAGUGAAGCUAGGACGCCAGUCUUAGCGGAGCCAACCUUGAAAUACCACCCUGAUUUGUUUGAGGUUCUAACCUAGGAGCGUGAUCCGCUUCGGGGACCGUGCAUGGCAGGCAGUUUGACUGGGGCGGUCUCCUCCUAAAGGGUAACGGAGGAGUGCGAAGGUACGCUAGGUACGGUCGGAAAUCGUGCUGAUAGUGCAAUGGCAAAAGCGUGCUUGACUGCGAGACCGACAAG
rnacentral:rRNA from 1 species